GUCCAUACAUUGAACAUCCGAUAAAAUUGGAACAAUGUAGAGAAGAUUAGCAUGACCCCUAUGCAAGGAUGACAUACAAGAAUUGAGAAAGGAUAAAGAAAAAU